GAGCUAGAGCCUCACAAAGAAGUGAUAAUUGACAGAGGGAAAGCUAAAGAACAACAACUACAGAAGUAGAGAAACCAAGAAACUAAAAGAGGGAUUGUGUGAAGGAGAUUUGAGGAGAGUUAAAGACAAGAGGGACUGCCAGCUACCUUAUUACCCGGAAGAAUGACUCUUUGACAGCACAACCACAGCCUAGCAUCCACCAAAUUGUGCCUUUAGACAUGUCAAUGGCAUCAAGGAACUAAUCAAGACCAAAAGAGGUUCCAAAGUGCAUGGUAGCCAGCUGCCCAUGGUUGGACUGGAUGUUAUGCACACAUGAGGAAUAUACCACCGAGAGGUCAUUCUGGACAGUAAAAAUUGGCCACGGGCUGUCUGAAUUGAGGUUAAAUAUCACAUCUAGUGUCACAUGGCAUUCCAUACCAUGGAACAUUCUCCGCACCACUGCCAGAAUUUCAGGCAAGGAAAAUGAGUCAAGUCACACAGCUAAAUACUUAAAAUCCAGUUUUCCUGGCUCCCAAUGUAGUCACCUUCCCACUGCCUGA
rnacentral:lncRNA from 1 species